GACGAACGCUGGCGGCGUGCUUAACACAUGCAAGUCGAACGGAAAGGCCCUGCUUUUGUGGGGUGCUCGAGUGGCGAACGGGUGAGUAACACGUGAGUAACCUGCCCUUGACUUUGGGAUAACUUCAGGAAACUGGGGAUAAUACCGGAUAGGAGCUCCUGCUGCAUGGUGGGGUUGGGAAAAUUCCGCGGUUGGGGAUAGGCAUGCGGGUUUUCGGGUUGUUUGUGGGGGAGUGGCAUACCAAGGCUUUGGCGGGUAGCCGGCCUGAGAGGGUGACCGGGCACAUUGGGACUGAGAUACGGCCCAGACUCCUACGGGAGGCAGCAGUGGGGAAUAUUGCACAAUGGGCGGAAGCCUGAUGCAGCAGCGCCGCGUGCGGGAUGACGGCCUUCUGGUUGUAAACCGCUUUCGCCUGUGACGAAGCGUGAGUGACGGUAAUGGGUAAAGAAGCACCGGCUAACUACGUG
rnacentral:rRNA from 1 species